AUUGAACGCUGGCGGCAGGCUUAACACAUGCAAGUCGAGCGAGCGGCGGACGGGUGAGUAAUGUCUGGGAAACUGCCUGAUGGAGGGGGAUAACUACUGGAAACGGUAGCUAAUACCGCAUACCAUCAGAUGUGCCCAGAUGGGCUUAGCUAGUAGGUGGGGUAAUGGCUCACCUAGGCGACGAUCCCUAGCUGGUCUGAGAGGAUGACCAGCCAAACUGGAACGUAGAUACGGUGCAGACUCGUACGGGAGGCAGAAGUGGGGAAUAUUGCACAAGGGGCGCAAGCCUGAUGCAGCCAUGCCGCGUGGGUGAAGAAGGCCUUCGGGUUGUAAAGCACUUGCAGCGAGGAGGCGUUACUCGCAGAAGAAGCACCGGCUAAGUCCGUGCCAGCAGCCGCGGUAAUAC
rnacentral:rRNA from 1 species